AAGUGCAGACAAGUUGAGUCUGUACUGUCAGAAAAUCGACAGAACGUCGAGCGGCUUUGUUCACAAGUCGCCUCACUGACAUCUGUCAUCAGAGAUCUAAUUGGGCGCGUUUCAAGUUUACGUGAAGAUGUGGAGUGUCAACGCAGUGUGUCUGCAAGGCUUGAGUGUGACUUGAACCAACAAACAGUUCUCUUCCAGUCCUCACUACAACAGACACGGAAAGAUAUCGAGCGGCAACACAGUUUGCUAACAAAGCAACAAGUAAAUAGUCUGGUUAAUAGCAAGAUAAAGCAAGACUUGUUUGUUGAUGGAGGGUGAGUAGAAAACUUUAAUGAAUGUAUAGAGUGGAAGGGCCAUUUGUUGUCAUGUUGAUAAGGUUGCUGGGUUGUUCUCUUUUGCUAGUAAAUUUCUUUAUAGUCAAUUUUCCCUUGAAGGUAAUUUUGUCAUUUUUUCCAAGAGGUCAUCUUUGAAAAUGGUGAGAUUGUAAGAUCUUAAAAAGACCUAAAAUGAAGCAGUUGAAGGUGUUGUGGUUUAUUGGUGUAGGUUGAGAUUAAUGUUGAAAUUGUUGUUGUUGGUAAGGACAUUUAGUAAUGCCCGUGGGUUUCUAGUGAAAAAGGGAUUGCACAGCAGGGUGGGGUCUGUUUGGUCUUAUGCAAGACUACUGCCUGCUGUUGGUGAAUGGUCUUAUGAACGCAUGUCUCAAUCAAUUUGGGGAACACAAAAAGUUGUUGCAGUGAGUGGUGACCAAAUGAAUACCAAAUGCAAUUGGCCCAGUGGAAUGGAGCUUUGUUGACAUUGACAUUGUAUUCCUGGAGUAUUGUAAU